CCAAUAGCGUAUAUUAAAGUUGUUGCAGUUAAAAAGCUCGUAGUUGAAUUUCGUGAUCAAUUUUCUUGGUCAUACCUUUGUAUGUACUGGUCUUAUUGAUUUCUCCCUUCUGAUGAACCAUGAUGUCAUUAAUUUGGUGUUAUGGGGAAUCAGGACUAUUACUUUGAAAAAAUUAGAGUGUUUAAAGCAGGCUCACGCUUGAAUACAUUAGCAUGGAAUAAUGAAAUAGGACGUUUGAUUCUAUUUUGUUGGUUUCUAGGAUUGACGUAAUGAUUAAUAGGGAUAGUUGGGGGCAUUAGUAUUCAAUUGUCAGAGGUGAAAUUCUUGGAUUUAUUGAAGACUAACUACUGCGAAAGCAUUUGCCAAAGAUGUUUUCAUUAAUCAAGAACGAAAGUUAGGGGAUCGAAGACGAUCAGAUACCGUCGUAGUCUUAACCAUAAACUAUGCCGACUAGGAAUCGGAUGAUGUUAAUUUUUUAAUGACUCAUUCGGCGCCUUACG
rnacentral:rRNA from 1 species